rnacentral:tRNA from 1 species
GGGGCUGUAGCUCAAUUGGGAGAGCGCUUGACUGGCAGUCAAGAGGUAGCGGGUUCGAUCCCCGCCAGCUCCA